AUUGAACGCUGGCGGCAGGCCUAACACAUGCAAGUCGAGCGGGCGACGGACGGGUGAGUAAUGUAUGUGUACUGCCCGUGGGGGGGGGAUAACUGCUGGAGACGCUGGCUACUACUGCAUACUGUCGGCCUAAGCAUAUGGGAUUAGCUAGUGGGUAAGGUAAUGGCUUACCUAGGCGACGAUCCCUAGCUGGUCUGAGAGGAUGAUCAGCCACACUGGGACUGAGACACGGCCCAGACUCCUACGGAGGCAGCAGUGGGGAAUAUUGCACAAUGGGCGCAAGCCUGAUGCAGCCAUGCCGCGUGUAUGAAGAAGGCCCUAGGGUUGUAAAGUACUUUCAGUCGGGAGGCGUUACCGACAGAAGAAGCACCGGCUAACUCCGUGCCAGCCGCCGCGGUAAUUC
rnacentral:rRNA from 1 species